rnacentral:rRNA from 1 species
UACCUGCUCCGCGAGGGGUUAGGACUCUUACUGGGCUUAAAGCGUCUGUAGCCGGACCGGCAUGCUCCGCGUUAAAUCCAGCAGCCUAACUGCUGGGCUGCGCGGAUGACUGCCGGGCUUGGGGGUGGGAGAGGGCGGCGGUAUUCCCGGGGUAGGGGUAAAAUCCACUGAUCCCGGGAGGACCACCAGUGGCGAAGGCGGCCGCCCAGAACACGCCCGACGGUGAGGGACGAAAGCUGGGGGAGCGAUGGGG